rnacentral:rRNA from 2 species
GACGGAGACCCCAAGCGUUGUUCGGAAUCACUGGGCUUAGAGCGGGUGUAGGCGGGACGGUAAGUACUGAGUGAAAUCCCCGGUCUCAACCCGGGAACUGCUUGGUAUACUGCCGUUCUUGAGGCAGGUAGGGGUCACUGGAACCUUAGGUGGAGCGGUGAAAUGCGUAGAUAUCUAAGGGAACGCCUGUGGCGAAAGCGGGUGACUGGGCCUGUUCUGACGCUGAGACCCGAAAGCGUAGGGAGCAAACGGG